UUUAGUCCAGCUUGUGUCUCCAGCUAAACACCGGAUUGUUUGGUUGUUGUUGGUUUGAUGCUACAAGUUCCACCACUUAAUGCUUUUUUUGCUUUGCGUGGAACCUUUGUGUUUUCCAUUGUUUCCUGCCUGCUCUUUGCAUUUCGUCUGCAUUCUGCAAGACAAGCUAACUGCUGCUCAUGGCUGAACUUCAAAGUUAUUGACUGGCAACGGAAUGGGCAGAAAAAAGCUUUCCGUUUCCUCGAAUGCAGAGGAGGAGGAGGACGUGGAAGAGUUCCAGUAACCAGGGUCGCAAGAGGAUUUUGGAGCCUAUCCCAGCUGACUUUGGGGGGUACACCCUGGACUGGUCGCCAGCCAAUCACAGGUCACAUAUAGACAAACAACCAUUCACACUCACAUUCAUACCUAUGGAUAAUUUAGAGUCGCCAAUUACUCACUUUAUGUCAAUCCUUCAAUGUUAUUCCUCUGUGCUACACUGCCCAUUACAAUUACAUGCAAAUGUAAAUACAUCAAUGGCAAUUAUAUAGUAAGUUAUACAAUAACGACAUCUACCCUCCCUAGCGACAUUUAUUAAAGGGAUAGUUAGGAUUUUUUGACAUGUUGUAUGACAUCAGUGUAGUGCAUCAAUGUUGACAUACCCCACACCUCCUCCUGUGAGCUGAGUUCUGGGCGGAUUUCAGUGAUGAGGUUAGUUGGUGGGGCGGCUUAAAUAAAAAGUUUGGCUUCUCUAGACAAUAUGUUGAGUAAAAUGAUGAUAUAUGUUGAGUAUAUUAUAUAAAUAAUAUUUGCCUACAAAAAUGCCUCCUUGAAAAAAGUAAACCUCACAAUCGCUGAGCUUUACUGCGCGUCCAUUGUUGGGUAUGUGUUCCACAUUGUUGACAUGCUUGGAUUUGGCAAUAUAUUAAUCCAGAGAAAUCGCUUAAUUACGCAGAUCGCUGUAUGCACAUUGUUUCAUAAGGUCCGUUCCGCGGGCCGGAUGCAAUUGCAGCGCCAGCCUGAUUUGGCCCCCGGGUCUGAG